GUGCUGGCUUCGGCUGCACGUCUACGAAAACUGGAACGAUACGGAGGAGAUGAGCCUGGCCCCUGCGCAAGGAUGACGGGCAAAACAUGUACUGAGAGCACUUCCAU